UGCCAGUCUGGCAGGGUCGGGAAGGUCAGAGCCUUAGGACCCACUUUCCUGUCUUACCCGAUGUUUUCCUGCCGGAACACCGUGGGUGGGUAAUUGCCUUGAGUAGAUGGGAAGAGC